GACGAACGCUGGCGGCGUGCUUAACACAUGCAAGUCGAACGGACAGGCCCUGCUCUUGCGGGGCGCUCGAGUGGCGAACGGGUGAGUAAAACGCGUGUAUACCGCACUUGUCUGUGGGAUAUCAUCAGGGAACAGGGGCUCAUACCGCAUAGGAGAUAUUGCAGCACGGGGGGGGUUGGAAAGUUUCGGCGGUUGGGGCUGGACUCGCGGGGUAUCCGCUUGUUGGGGGGGUAGCGGCUUACCAAGGCUAUGAGGGGUAGACGACCUGAGAGGGUGAUCGGCCACACUGGAACGGAGACACGGUCCAGACUACUACGGGAGGCAGCAGUAGGGAAUCUUCCGCAAUGGGCGAAAGCCUGACGGAGCGACGCCGCGUGAGUGAUGAAGGUCCUCGGAUCGUAAAACUCUGUUAUUAGGGAAGAACAAAUGUGUAAGUAACUAUGCACGUCUUGACGGUACCUAAUCAGAAAGCCACGGCUAACUACGUG
rnacentral:rRNA from 1 species